CCUACCGGGUGGCAGCAGUGAGGAAUAUUGGUCAAUGGACGGAAGUCUGAACCAGCCAUGCCGCGUGCAGGAUGACGGCUCUAUGAGUUGUAAACUGCUUUUGUACGAGAAUAAUAGUUCUUACGUGUAGGGAUUUGAAUGUAUCGUACGAAUAAGGAUCGGCUAACUCCGUGCCAGCAGCCGCGGUAAUACGGAGGAUUCGAGCGUUAUCCGGAUUUAUUGGGUUUAAAGGGUGCGUAGUCUGUUGGAUAAGUCAGCGGGAAAAGCCCGGGGCUCAACCCCGGCGAGCCGUUGAAACUGGCUGUCUUGAGAUGUCGAGAGGUAUGCGGAAUGCGCAGUGUAGCGGUGAAAUGCUUAGAUAUUGCGCAGAACUCCGAUUGCGAAGGCAGCAUACCGGCGGCGAUCUGACGCUGAGGCACGAAAGCGUGGGUAUCGAACAGGAUUAGAUACCCCGGUAGUC
rnacentral:rRNA from 1 species